CAUGAGAACACAUUGCCUCAUACUUGCUGCAAUAGAGUUGAAUAAGUAACAGCUUUUAAAUUGGAUUAUCAACUCACAUUGCUACCAAAUACGAGCAUAUCAAUAGCAAGUCAUUUGGGGUGAAUGGAUAUGUUGACUGCCACACCUGGGUUUCUGUGACUACUCCUGGAUUCAGUGAUGGAGUCAGCCCCAAGUCUUGUCCCAUCUGUUCCAAGCUAUUUGUCCAUGUAAAACUGUCAACGUUCCAAGCCACUGACUGACAGGGUAAGAAGAGUGAGUCUCAAGAGAGUGAGGAACGGUGAAUCUUUGGCAGACUCUGUGUGUGCCCAUGGAAGAGACAGUGACAGAAAUUAUGUAAUGAAAAAAAUGUAGCACAAGCCUUAUGAAUUUUUACUUUUCACUCCAUGGGAUUCCCAUAUCAAAAGACCUAUUCUACACAAAAUAAAGUUCUCUAUGAAGAAUUG
ensembl:lncRNA LINC02112 long intergenic non-protein coding RNA 2112